rnacentral:tRNA from 1 species
CAGAUUAAGUUUAAAGGGAAGUAUUUCAUUUACAUUGAAAUAAAUAUUGUGCAAUUCAAUAUAAUCUGA